rnacentral:rRNA from 1 species
CCUACGGGAGGCAGCAGUGGGGAAUUUUGGACAAUGGGCGCAAGCCUGAUCCAGCAAUGCCGCGUGCAGGAUGAAGGCCUUCGGGUUGUAAACUGCUUUUGUACGGAGCGAAACGGUCUGCUUUAAUACAGUAGGCUAAUGACGGUACCGUAAGAAUAAGCACCGGCUAACUACGUGCCAGCAGCCGCGGUAAUACGUAGGGUGCGAGCGUUAAUCGGAAUUACUGGGCGUAAAGCGUGCGCAGGCGGUUAUAUAAGACAGAUGUGAAAUCCCCGGGCUCAACCUGGGACCUGCAUUUGUGACUGUAUAGCUAGAGUACGGUAGAGGGGGAUGGAAUUCCGCGUGUAGCAGUGAAAUGCGUAGAUAUGCGGAGGAACACCGAUGGCGAAGGCAAUCCCCUGGACCUGUACUGACGCUCAUGCACGAAAGCGUGGGGAGCAAACAGGAUUAGAUACCCUGGUAGUCCACGCCCUAAACGAUGUCAACUGGUUGUUGGGUCUUCACUGACUCAGUAACGAAGCUAACGCGUGAAGUUGACCGCCUGGGGAGUACGGCCGCAAGGUUGAAACUCAAAUGAAUUGACCGGNUGAGACGNGCGAGGCGACGACGAGGGAGGAGG